UACGUAGGCGGCGAGCGUUGUCCGGAUUUACUGGGCGUAAAGGGAGCGUAGGCGGAUUUUUAAGUGAGAUGUGAAAUACUCGGGCUCAACUUGAGUGCUGCAUUUCAAACUGGAAGUCUAGAGUGCAGGAGAGGAGAAUGGAAUUCCUAGUGUAGCGGUGAAAUGCGUAGAGAUUAGGAAGAACACCAGUGGCGAAGGCGAUUCUCUGGACUGUAACUGACGCUGAGGCUCGAAAGCGUGGGGAGCAAACAGG
rnacentral:rRNA from 1 species